rnacentral:rRNA from 1 species
GAUGAUCGAAGGCGAUCAGAUACCGCCCUAGUUCUAACCAUAAACGAUGCCAGCCAGCGAUCCGGCUGUGUUCCUCAAAUGACACGCCGGGCAGCUUCCGGGAAACCAAAGCUUUUGGGUUCCGGGGGAAGUAUGGUUGCAAAGCUGAAACUUAAAGGAAUUGACGGAGGGGCACACAAGGCUUGGAUAUUGCGGUUCAAUUUGACUCAACGCAGCAAAUCCUACCAGGCCAGGACACAGGAAGGAUUGACAGAUUGAGAGCUCUUUCUUGAUUCUGUGGGUGGUGGUGCAUGGCCGUUCCUGGUUCGUGGAGCGAUUUGUCUUGUUUAUUCAGAUAACGGACGAGAUUCUAGCCUACUAAAUAGACGCUUCGAUCCUUCGAGUCGAGCGUUCUUCUUAGAGGGACCGGCGGUGUUUAGCCGCACGAGGCAGAGCAAUAACAGGUCUGUAAUGCCCUUAGAUGUCCUGGGCCACCCGCGUUCUACAUUGAAGGAAUCAACGUGUGCUUUCCCUGUCCGAAGGGACUGGGUAACCCGUUGAACCUCCUUCGUGCUGGGGAUAGGAAAUUGCAAUUAUUUUCCUUGAACGAGGAAAACCUAGUAAGCGCGAGUCAUCAUCUCGGGUUGAUUACGUCCCUGCCCUUUGUCACACCGCCCGUCGCUAUUACCGAUUGAAUGAUUUAGUGAGGUCUUCGGACUGGCGCUCGGAUUGGCUUUCGGGUCCAGCCGGGGUGCCGGAAAGAUGACCGAACUUGACCAUUUAGAGGAAAUA